CGGGAGCCCGGCCACGCUGCCCGCCGCCGGCGCGGGUGGCCUCGCCCCCCGUCCUCGGGGCGUGCCCGGGGCCCCCUCCGCCCGGUUGCUGCCGCCACGCCCGGGUGAGCGCGGGCAACGUUGCGGGAAACACGGAAUUCUAGCCCCGCGGGCUGUCACUGAGCCUUCCCCGCCUCUUCCACAAACGUCUGCCCUCUGAGCACAAAUCAGGUGCUUGAUACACAUCAGGACAAGACCAGAUGGGGCUCCAGGACAGCCAGCUGGCGAGGGUCAAGGGAGCAUGUUCCCAGUGCACACCCUAAAGGGCUUCAGGAGGGGGUGCGGCUGCUCACGAGGGACUCCCAGCCCUGAGCCCCCAGACCCUCUGUCCAGCAGCCAGCCAAGCCAGAGAGGUGUGGAGAAGCCAUGGGAGGGGGAGCAAGGGCACAGUGUCCAGUUGGGAAGUGAGGGACUGUGUCCUGCAACUGUGAACAGCGAUGUGAUGUUUCCUCAUCAUGGAGAUUGCCCAGGUUGAUUUCUCCCAAGGCUGAUGGCCCAUGAGGAGCUUUCUUCAUGGAGGACCCACCCUCAAGAAGCCAAAGGGAAGAGGCUGAGGCCCAGAUCCACUCAGGCCACUAGGCUCGAGCCAGAAAGCCCCUCCAGGGCCUCAAAGGCCUCCUGUGCCCUUCUCCUCCUCACCAGGACCCUGCUCUUCCUUCCUCAUCCAUCACUGACUUCAAGGACUCGCAGACCUCUGUCACAAGCUGGAUUACUUUCAUUUCCUUCUUUCUCUUCAUAUUAAAUGUUAAAUAUACAAAAAUGCAUAUUGGCCUCUUAGAUGACUGGGUCCUAGGUGAGCAGGAGUUAGAAGGCAGCACCAGCUGACAGCAGCACAGAACACCAAUAAUGGUGCCCAUGGGGUGGCCAGUCACACACACCUAUUUCCCCAAGUGACUCUCAAGACCAAGCACCCAGGCAGUCACCCUAGUCACCUCAUUUCUACAGAGGAGAAAAGAGACUCAGAGUGGGCAAGCAGCCCACCCAAAGUCACACAGCAUGCUCAGAUGGGAGCAGGUCAAGAGCCUGGGCCUCUGACUACACUUUCCUAUUGGGAGCCACAGGGAAGAGGGAGGGUCUGUCCAGACCUGGAAGGGCAGGGGUCCACAGAUGUGCACUCACCGCUGGAAGGGGCCUAGAGGCUGCUGCUAACUGCUCCCCAACAGACAGAGCUCCUUGUGAUCUGACUGCCCACCUCUCUCACUAGUCAGAGUCACAUCCGACAGUGUGGGAAGCCCAGUGUGGCAGGAAUCACCAGCAGAAUUCACCUUUAUGUGGACAGGAAGCUCAGGGAAACGUGGCUCCAGCAGUCCCACUGACGGGCACAGACCGGCCACUCACGUUUUGCCAGGAUGCAGGCCAAGCACCUUCCUGAAAUAACUUGUUCCACUCUCAGAACGAGGCUAGGGGUGUUGAUGUCACUGUCAUCCCCAUUCAGAUGGGGAAACCGAGGCCCUGACUGGUUAGGUAGUAUGUGCAACGCCUCACAGCUUCCUAGAGUUGCACAAGGAGCCAAGUAGGGGCAAGACUCUACCAAAAUGCGCAAGGAGGUGAGCUCCUGGCAAGGACAAGAGAUGGCUGUCUCCCCAAGGAGGCCCUGAGAACACAGCCGUCAUUGGCGCUCGAGGGAAAGGCAGUGGGCAGGCUUUUCAGUCUGCACAGGAGGAGGAAGCUGAGGCCAAUCCCGCUGCAGCUCUGAGACCAUAGGAGACAGUAAGUCUUCCCUUGGUCACCAAGGCCAAAGGGAGCCCGCCAGUGGGUGCACCGAAGUGAGCAGCUGCUCCAAUCAGAGAUA